CCCCCCCCCCCCCCCCCCCCCCCCCCCCCCCCCCCCCCCCCCCCCCCCCCCCCCCCCCCCCCCCCCCCCCGAUGUUUUGGGGUGGAAUUUGAAGAUUUGGGGAUUUUGGGUUAAAUUUGGGGAUUUUUGGGGUGAAAUUUGGGGAAUUUUGGGGCAAAAUUUGGAAAUUUUCAGGUGAAAUUUGGGGAAUUUUGGGUUAAAUUUGGGGAUUUUGAGGUGAAAUGUGGGGUAAAUUUUGGGACAAAAUUUGGGGAUUUGGGGGAAAAAUUUGGGGAUUUUUGGGGUGAAAUUUGGGGAUUUUGAAGCAAAACUUGGGGAUUUUGGGGUGAAAUUUGGGGGGAUUUUGGGGUGAAAUUUGGGGAUUUUGGGUUAAUUUGGGGAUUUUUGGGGUGAAGUUUGGGGAUUUUUGGGGUGAAAUUUGGAAAAUUUUGGGGCAAAAUUUGGAAAUUUUCAGGUGAAAUUUGGGGAUUUUGGGGUGAAAUUUGGUCAUUUUGGGUUAAAUUUGGGGAUUUUUGGGGUGAAAUUUGGGGAAUUUUGGGGCAAAAUUUGGAAAUUUUCAGGUGAAAUUUGGGGAUUUUGGGGUGAAAUUUGGUCAUUUUGGGUUAAAUUUGGGGAUUUUUGGGGUGAAAUUUGGGGAAUUUUGGGGCAAAAUUUGGAAAUUUUCAGGUGAAAUUUGGGGAUUUUGGGGUGAAAUUUGGUCAUUUUGGGUUAAAUUUGGGGAUUUUUGGGGUGAAAUUUGGGGAAUUUUGGGGCAAAAUUUGGAAAUUUUCAGGUGAAAUUUGGGGAUUUUGGGGUGAAAUUUGGUCAUUUUGGGUUAAAUUUGGGGAUUUUUGGGGUGAAAUUUGGUAAUUUUGGGUUAAAUUUGGGGAUUUUGGGGGGAAAUCCACCUCGUUUGCUGUGGAGGAGCCCAAACCUCACCCAAAAAACCCCAAAUCCCCUCGACUGUCAUCAGAACUGCACAGGGCCACGCCCAGGCGUCCCCAGGGGUCACAGGUGUCCCCAAGUGUCACUGGUGUCACUCAGGUGUCACUCAGGUGUCACUCAGCCAUGUCCCCAGGUGUCCCCAGGUGUCAUUGGUGUCACUCAGGUGUCACUCAGGUGUCCCCAAGUGUCACUCAGGUGUCACUCAGGUGUCCCCAGGUGUCACCCAGGUGUCACAGGUGUCCCCAGGUGUCACUCAGGGCUCAGCCAUGUCCCCGCCUCCUCCACGUCCCGCGGCACCACCAGGAACAGCUCCGAGCCCGGCUUGGCCAGAGCCGCCUGCAGGAACUGCCUGGGGAGAUAAAAACCCGUUAGCAAGAGGGGUUAAUUCAUUCAUAAUUCAUCAAUUAACAGCUUGUGAUUAAAGUAAUCUCUUGCUUUAAUU
rnacentral:lncRNA from 12 species